rnacentral:rRNA from 1 species
AACGGGGGGAGCAAGCGUUGUCCGGAAUUACUGGGCGUAAAGAGCUCGUAGGCGGGGUUUUAAGUCUGGAAGUAAAUCCACCGGCUCAACCGGUGUAUCAUUCCGGAUACUGGGACUCUUGAGGACAGGAGAGGAAAGCGGAAUUCCUAGUGUAGCGGUGAAAUGCGUAGAUAUUAGGAGGAACACCAGUGGCGAAGGCGGCUUUCUGGCCUGGUCCUGACGCUGAGGAGCGAAAGCCAGGGGAGCGAACGGGAUUAGAUACCCCGGUUGUCCUGGCUGUAAACGAUGGAUACUAGGUGUAGGAGGUAUCGACCCCUUCUGUGCCGCAGCUAACGCAAUAAGUAUCCCGCCUGGGGAGUACGGCCGCAAGGUUGAA